rnacentral:rRNA from 1 species
CCUACGGGAGGCUGCAGUGGGGAAUAUUGGACAAUGGGGGGAACCCUGAUCCAGCCAUGCCGCGUGUGUGAAGAAGGCCCUCGGGUUGUAAAGCACUUUCAGUGAGGAAGAACGCCUGGUGGUUAAUACCCAUCAGGAAAGACAUCACUCACAGAAGAAGCACCGGCUAACUCCGUGCCAGCAGCCGCGGUAAUACGGAGGGGGCGAGCGUUAAUCGGAAUUACUGGGCGUAAAGCGCGCGUAGGUGGCUUGAUAAGCCGGUUGUGAAAGCCCCGGGCUCAACCUGGGAACGGCAUCCGGAACUGUCAAGCUAGAGUGCAGGAGAGGAAGGUAGAAUUCCCGGUGUAGCGGUGAAAUGCGUAGAGAUCGGGAGGAAUACCAGUGGCGAAGGCGGCCUUCUGGACUGAAACUGACACUGAGGUGCGAAAGCGUGGGUAGCAAACAGGAUUAGAUACCCUGGUAGUC